UACGUAGGCAGCAAGCGUUGUUCGGAAUUACUGGGCGUAAAGAGUGUGUAGGCGGUGCUCUAAGUUCGGUGUGAAAUCUCCCGGCUCAACUGGGAGGGUGCGCCGAAAAUUGGAGUGCUGGAGCGCGGGAGAGGAAAGCGGAAUUCCUGGUGUAGCGGUGAAAUGCGUAGAUAUCAGGAGGAACACCGGCAGUGUAGACGGCUUUCUGGACCGUAGCUGACGCUGAGACACGAAAGCGUGGGUAGCAAACAGG
rnacentral:rRNA from 1 species